ensembl:lncRNA
UGCACAGCUCAAACCACAUCAUCAAGUUUGCUGAUGACACGACAGUGGUGGGUCUUAUAACCAAAGGCGAUGAAUCGGCAUACAGAGAGGAGGUGCAUCGGCUAGUGGACUGGUGUAAAGUCAACAACCUGUCCCUGAAUGUGAACAAAACUAAAGAGAUGGUUGUUGACUUUAGGAGAUCACAUACCAACCACUCUCCGCUGAACAUCGACGGCUCCUCUGUGGAGAUCGUAAAGCACACCAAAUUCCUUGGUGUUUAUCUGACGGAGAACCUCACCUGGUCUCUCAACACCAGCUCCAUAGCAAAGAUAGCUCAGCAGCGUCUUUACUUUUUACGCAAACUCAAGAAAGCACAUCACGGAAAGCACACACUUCGCAUCACCCACAGUAAGAGACUUUUGGAUUGCAAUGUCAUGGUUUUCACAGAAACAUGGCUACACAGCGACGUACCCAAUAAUGCUAUUGAGCUAGCCGGACGCUACAUGUUUCGGGCAGAUAGAACGGCAGAUGACUCCGGCAAAACAAGAGGUGGUGGAUUGUGCAUGUAUGUCAACAAAGCUUGGUGUACGAACACUGUCAUUGUUGGAAGACCUUCUUAUCUGCCGUGGGAGUUCACUUCCACCAUUAUAACAGCAGUCUAUAUUCCACCGGAUGCUAAUGCCAAGCUUGCUUUGAACGAACUGCAUGCGGCCAUUAGUAAACAACAGACUAAACAACAGGUGGUGAAAACUGCCCAACGCAUCACAGGGAAACCACUUCCUGCUAUUGAGGACAUCCAGAGGAAACGCUGUCUACGUCGAGCUCGCAGCAUUCUUAAGGACUCCUCUCACCCUGACCACAGACUGUUUAACCUCCUGCCCUCCAGGAGGCGCUUCAGGAGCCUCCGGACAAGGACCAGCAGAUUCAGGAACCGCUUUUUCCCCUACAGCGGUCUCCUUACUGAACUCUGCCCUCUGACACCUCCCCAACGCAUACACAUACAUUUUUACAUAAUCCAUCUGUAUAGUAUGUUCAUAGUACACCUAUCUGUAUAUCAUGCUGAUAGUAUUUACAAAUCUGUAAAUUAUGUCCAUAAUACUGCCU